AUUUCAGCAGUUCAGUUCAGUUCAGUUCGGGUCGGGUUUGCAAUUCAACAGCACUGCGAAAACGGAUCAAAUAAAAUCAAAAUAUUCGAACGAAUAAUUUACACUCAGUAAAGGCAAACACAACAAUAAGCCACAUCGGAGUAAUAUCGACUAUAGAAUUCUCUCACUAUAUAGUAUAUGGUACAGAGUAUAUAUCCGCCAUAUAUAUGAGAAUUGGCUAAAAGGAAAGCAACAACAACAACAAAAUAAAACGUUGCACAGUUAGCCAACGGCAAGUGCAGCACGUAAGUUGCAACAAUUUCGGGGCACAAGUAGAAGACAUUGUAAGUGCGAGCACAGCGUUGCCAGAUUGCCAACAACAAUAGCCCCAAACCAAAAAAACAACUGCCAGAACAACAACAACAACAUACUCAAGCGGACAGUCAAUUUGGGCAGCUGAGACGCCAGGUGGCGCUGCUGUUGCGCUGGCAUGCACAUCCAAAGCAACAGUUAAAAAGAAGAAAGUAAAAGCCAAGCAAGUAGAAGAAGAAGAAGAAGCAGAGUAAUCAGCCGAAAGAGUUCGUGCCGCUGGAAAUCCUGUCGCUAAUUAGUUCUCGUAACAUGGGCUGCGCCUUUGAAGCAGCCAAAGAGCAGCCCAAGCAGAGAACAAAACAACCAAAUAGAAAUCAAUGUGCUGCCCCAACAACAACAAUAACAACAGCAGCCACACUAGGAAGUACAACAACUACAACAACAACGUCAACGACAACGACAACAAUACUCGUAGUAGCAGCUGAGAGCAGAGAAACAGAGGACAUACAAAUCAAGGAUAACUAUCAACAAAAUCAUAAAACGCAAA